rnacentral:lncRNA from 1 species
UAACCAACUUCAUGGAAGAUUUUGCCCCAAACGAGAUGCUUUGAGUAUUUGCAAAGUUCGGAGUCUAUUGUCAUUAUUUCUUUCAGUCUUGACAUCUCCAUCAGCCCGACUAAAGACCAUCCUCAGAGAGUUCAUCCAAAAAUCUGGCAGCAGCCCAUCUAAGACUUUAUUUGAGUGAUGUUUACUUUGCACUUCAGGUGGCUCAAU